rnacentral:lncRNA from 1 species
UGUGUCAACUCAGUGUCACCAAAAGUGUCACCUCUGUGUCACCACUGCUGUCACCUCAGUGUCACCGUUGGUGUCACCUCAGUGUCACCUUCAUGUCACCAUCGGUGUCACCUUCAUGUCCCCCUCAGUGUCACAUCUGUGUCACCAUCAGUGUCACCUUUGUGUUACCAACAAUGUCACCAUCAGUGUCACCUCUGUGUCACCUUCAUGUCACCAUUGGUGUCACCUCAGUGUCACCUCUGUGUCACCAACAAAGUCACCAACAGUGUCACCCCUGUGUCACCAUCAGUGUCACCAUCGGUGUCACCUUCAUGUCACCAUUGGUGUCACCUCUGUGCCACCUUCAGUGUCACCUUUGUGUCACCUCCAUGUCACCCUCAGUGCCACCAUUGGUGUCACCUCAGUGUCACCUCUGUGUCACCAACAGUGUCAGCUCUGUGUCACCACUGCUGUCACCUCACUGUCACCGUUGGUGUCACCUCUGUGUCACCUCCAUGUCACCCUCAGUGCCACCAUUGGUGUCACCUCUGUGUCACCAACAGUGUCACCUCAGUGUCACCUCAGUGUCCCCUUCAUGUCACNNNNNNNNNNNNNNNNNNNNNNNNNNNNNNNNNNNNNNNNNNNNNNNNNNNNNNNNNNNNNNNNNNNNNNNNNNNNNNNNNNNNNNNNNNNNNNNNNNNNCCUCUGUGUCACCUCCAUGUCACCCUCAGUGUCACCCUCAGUGUCACUUCUGUGUCACGUCUGUGUCACCACUGCUGUCACCUCAGUGCCACCAUUGGUGUCACCUCUGUGUCACUUCUGUGUGACCAUCAGUGUCACCUCUCUGUCACCUCUGUGUCACCUCUGUGCCACCUCCAUGUCACCCUCAGUGUCACCUUUGUGUCACCUCCAUGUCACCCUCAGUGCCACCAUUGGUGUCACCUCUGUGUCACCUCCAUGUCACCCUCAGUGUCACCAUCAGUGUCACCUUUGUGUCACCUCCAUGUCACACUCAGUGUCACUUCAGUGUCACCUCAGUGUCACCAUCAGUGUCACCUUCAUGUCGCCCUCAGUGUCACCAACAGUGUCACCUCUGUGUCACCUUCAUGUCACCAUUGGUGUCACCUCCAUGUCACCUCUGUGUCACCAUCAGUGUCACCUUCAUGUCACCCUCAGUGUCACCUCAGUGUCACCAACAGUGUCACCUCUGUGUCACCACUGCUGUCACCUCAGUGUCACCGUUGGUGUCACCUCCGUGUCACCUCUGUGUCACCAUCAAUGUCACCUUCAUGUCGCCCUCAGUGUCACUUCUGUGUCACGUCUGUGUCACCAACAGUGUCACCUCUGUGUCACCAACGGUGUCACCAACGGUGUCACCUGGGGGCGUCGGGUCACCGAGAGUGUCAGCUCUGUGUCACCACUGCUGUCACCUUUGUGUCACCCUCAGUGUCACCAACAGUGUCACCUCUGUGCCACCUUCAUGCUACCAUCGGUGUCACCUUCAUGUCACCCUCAGUGUCACCUCUGUGUCACCUUCAUGUCACCAUUGGUGUCACCUCUGUGCCACCCAGUGUCACCUCUGUGUCUCAUCUGUGUCACCAUCAAUGUCACCUCAGUGUCACCCUCAGUGUCACUUCUGUGUCACCAUCAGUAUCACCUCAGUGUCACCUCUGUGUCACUUCCAUGUCACGCUCAGUGUCAUUGUGUCACCAACAAUGUCACCUUCAUGUCACCCUCAGUGUCACCUCUGUGUCACCUUCAUGUCACCCUCGGUGUCACCUCCAUGUCACCCUCAGUGUCACCUCUGUGUCACCUUCAUGUCACCCUCGGUAUCACCUCCAUGUCACCCUCAGUGUCACUUCUGUGUCACGUCUGUGUCACCAACAGUGUCAGCUCGGUGUCACCAUUGGUGUCACCUCCAUGUCACCUCUGUGUCACCAACGGUGUCACCUGGGGGCGUCAGGUCACCGAGAGAGUCAGCUCUGUGUCACCACUGGUGUCACCUUUGUGUCACCAUUGGUGUCACCAUCAGUGU